GUGCCAGCAGCCGCGGUAAUACGUAGGGGGCGAGCGUUGUCCGGAUUUAUUGGGCGUAAAGAGCUCGUAGGCGGUUCAACAAGUCGGUCGUGAAAGUUCAGGGCUCAACCCUGAAAUGUCGAUCGAUACUGUUGUGACUAGGAUACGGUAGAGGUGAGUGGAAUUCCGAGUGUAGCGGUGAAAUGCGUAGAUAUCAGAAGGAAUACCAAUGGCGAAGGCAGCUCUCUGGCUCGUCACUGACGCUGAGGUGCGAAAGCGUGGGUAGCAAACAGGAUUAGAUA
rnacentral:rRNA from 1 species